rnacentral:rRNA from 1 species
GAUGAACGCUGGCGGCGUGCCUAAUACAUGCAAGUCGAGCGGACAGACGAGGAGCUUGCUCCCCUGACGUUAGCGGCGGACGGGUGAGUAACACGUGGAUAACCUACCUAUAAGACUGGGAUAACUUCGGGAAACCGGAGCUAAUACCGGAUAAUAUAUUGAACCGCAUGGUUCAAUAGUGAAAGACGGUUUUGCUGUCACUUAUAGAUGGAUCCGCGCCGCAUUAGCUAGUUGGUAAGGUAACGGCUUACCAAGGCAACGAUGCGUAGCCGACCUGAGAGGGUGAUCGGCCACACUGGAACUGAGACACGGUCCAGACUCCUACGGGAGGCAGCAGUAGGGAAUCUUCCGCAAUGGGCGAAAGCCUGACGGAGCAACGCCGCGUGAGUGAUGAAGGUCUUCGGAUCGUAAAACUCUGUUAUUAGGGAAGAACAAAUGUGUAAGUAACUAUGCACGUCUUGACGGUACCUAAUCAGAAAGCCACGGCUAACUACGUG